rnacentral:pre_miRNA from 15 species
UACUUGAGACCGUGUGACCUGUGGGCUUCCCUUUGUCAUCCUAUGCCUGGAGAUCACAGUGAGGCAGGGACAGCAAAGGGAUGCUCAGCUGUCGUCUCUUCC